rnacentral:rRNA from 1 species
GGAAGGUCCCCCACACUGGUACUGAGACACGGACCAGACUCCUACGGGAGGCAGCAGUGAGGAAUAUUGGUCAAUGGGCGAGAGCCUGAACCAGCCAAGUCGCGUGAGGGAUGACUGCCCUAUGGGUUGUAAACCUCUUUUGUAUGGGGGGAAUAAGCUUUACGAGUAGAGUGAUGACAGUACCAUACGAAUAAGCAUCGGCUAACUCCGUGCCAGCAGCCGCGGUAAUACGGAGGAUGCGAGCGUUAUCCGGAUUUAUUGGGUUUAAAGGGUGCGUAGGCGGCAUUAUAAGUUAGUGGUAAAAUAUUGGGGCUUCACCUCACUACGCCAUUAAUACUGUAGAGCUAGAGAACAGACGAGGUAGGCGGAAUAAGUUAAGUAGCGGUGAAAUGCAUAGAUAUAACUUAGAACACCGAUAGCGAAGGCAGCUUACCAGACUGAGUCUGACGCUGAUGCACGAGAGCAUGGGUAGCGAACAGGAUUAGAUACCCUGGUAGUCCAUGCCGUAAACGAUGCUCACUGGCCUUAGGCGAUAUAUGGUCU